rnacentral:rRNA from 1 species
UGGCGGCAGGCUUACACAUGCAGUCGAGCGGAAACGAUGAUAGCUUGCUAUCAGGCGUCGAGCGGCGGACGGGUGAGUAAUACUUAGGAAUCUACCUAGUAGUGGGGGAUAGCACGGGGAAACUCGUAUUAAUACCGCAUACGACCUACGGGAGAAAGGGGGCAGUUUACUGCUCUCGCUAUUAGAUGAGCCUAAGUCGGAUUAGCUAGAUGGUGGGGUAAAGGCCUACCAUGGCGACGAUCUGUAGCUGGUCUGAGAGGAUGAUCAGCCACACCGGGACUGAGACACGGCCCGGACUCCUACGGGAGGCAGCAGUGGGGAAUAUUGGACAAUGGGGGAAACCCUGAUCCAGCCAUGCCGCGUGUGUGAAGAAGGCCUUUUGGUUGUAAAGCACUUUAAGCAGUGAAGAAGACUCCGUGGUUAAUACCCACGGACGAUGACAUUAGCUGCAGAAUAAGCACCGGCUAACUCUGUGCCAGCAGCCGCGGUAAUACAGAGGGUGCAAGCGUUAAUCGGAAUUACUGGGCGUAAAGGGAGCGUAGGUGGCUCUAUAAGUCAGAUGUGAAAUCCCCGGGCUCAACCUGGGAACUGCAUCUGAAACUGUAGAGCUAGAGUAUGUGAGAGGAAGGUAGAAUUCCAGGUGUAGCGGUGAAAUGCGUAGAGAUCUGGAGGAAUACCGAUGGCGAAGGCAGCCUUCUGGCAUAAUACUGACACUGAGGCUCGAAAGCGUGGGUAGCAAACAGGAUUAGAUACCCUGGUAGUCCACGCCGUAAACGAUGUCUACUAGUCGUUGGGUCCCUUGAGGACUUAGUGACGCAGCUAACGCAAUAAGUAGACCGCCUGGGGAGUACGGCCGCAAGGUUAAAACUCAAAUGAAUUGACGGGGGCCCGCACAAGCGGUGGAGCAUGUGGUUUAAUUCGAUGCAACGCGAAGAACCUUACCUGGUCUUGACAUAUCUAGAAUCCUGCAGAGAUGCGGGAGUGCCUUCGGGAAUUAGAAUACAGGUGCUGCAUGGCUGUCGUCAGCUCGUGUCGUGAGAUGUUGGGUUAAGUCCCGCAACGAGCGCAACCCUUGUCCUUAGUUACCAGCGGGUUAAGCCGGGAACUCUAAGGAUACUGCCAGUGACAAACUGGAGGAAGGCGGGGACGACGUCAAGUCAUCAUGGCCCUUACGACCAGGGCUACACACGUGCUACAAUGGUAGGUACAGAGGGCAGCUACACAGCGAUGUGAUGCGAAUCUCAAAAAGCCUAUCGUAGUCCAGAUUGGAGUCUGCAACUCGACUCCAUGAAGUAGAAUCGCUAUAAUCGCGAUCAGAUGCC